GACGAACGCUGGCGGCGUGCUUAACACAUGCAAGUCGAACGGAGUGGCGAACGGGUGAGUAACACGUGGGUGAGCUGCUCUGCACUUCGGGAUAAGCACGGGAAACUGGGUCUGAUAACGGAUAGUGUGGGAUGGGCCCUCGGCCUAUCGGCUUGUGGGGGGGGUAAUGGCCUACCAAGGCGGCGACGGGUAGCCGGCCUGAGAGGGUGGACGGGCACAUUGGGACUGAGACACGGCCCAGACUCCUACGGUAGGCAGCAGUGGGGAAUAUUGCACAAUGGGCGGAAGGCUGAUGCAGCGACGCCGCGUGGGGGAUGACGGCCUUCGGGUUGGAAACUCCUUUCACCAUCGACGCGGUAGAUGGAGAAGAAGCACCGGCUAACUACGUGCCAGCAGCCGCGGUAAUUC
rnacentral:rRNA from 1 species